UCCUCCCGCCUCAUCCCAAACCUGCCUCCCCUUCCCGCCCCCGGCAGGCUUCGGCCCCGGCUCCUCCUCCUCCCGGGGAGCCGGGAGUAGUCCCGGAGCUGCCGCAGGCAACGGGGCUGUGUCCCGGACUGGCCCUUUGCUUUUAAUGAAAGCGACUUUUUCUAUGCCCUAGACACGGGGCAGUCUGUCUCUCGGAACACAAAUCUACGCGCAGGACGACCGUGCCCACUGGUACAAACCAGAGAUAACGCCAUCCGGUGCCCGCCCCAGCACCACCGCAAAGAAAACCAGCGCCCCAGGGGCACGGGGGGUCGGCAGUAACAGGAGCCCACAGAUUACACAGAAGAGUUCCAUUCCACAGCAGCCAGAGAACUUCAACAGGAAUCUUGUGGUUCUACCACUGGGUGUCUGCUAUGUCUAAGAUGGUGAUGUUACUCUCUGGUUUUGCAGAUAUUUUGGUGUUUAAGCUUAACAACAUAUCUAGCUCUUUAUUUAUUUUUCUUACCUGCUGAGUUCAGAGAUUUUUCAUCCUCCAAAACGAGGUAACACAGGAAACUGUCAUGACCUGACACAGAAAGGUAUUUACAAAAUCAUGAUACGCAAUGGUCCCAAUGACCUCAAGAACAGGACAUCAUACAAGAAAAUACGUAAUUGUCUAUAAAUCAGUUUAAAAAUUAAAUCCAAUAUCUGGCAACA